rnacentral:rRNA from 1 species
CCUACGGGUGGCUGCAGUGGGAAAUAUUGGACAAUGGGGGCAACCCUGAUCCAGCCAUGCCGCGUGUGUGAAGAAGGCCCUCGGGUUGUAAAGCACUUUCAGUGAGGAAGAACGCCUGGUGGUUAAUACCCAUCAGGAAAGACAUCACUCACAGAAGAAGCACCGGCUAACUCCGUGCCAGCAGCCGCGGUAAUACGGAGGGUGCGAGCGUUAAUCGGAAUUACUGGGCGUAAAGCGCGCGUAGGUGGCUUGAUAAGCCGGUUGUGAAAGCCCCGGGCUCAACCUGGGAACGGCAUCCGGAACUGUCAAGCUAGAGUGCAGGAGAGGAAGGUAGAAUUCCCGGUGUAGCGGUGAAAUGCGUAGAGAUCGGGAGGAAUACCAGUGGCGAAGGCGGCCUUCUGGACUGACACUGACACUGAGGUGCGAAAGCGUGGGUAGCAAACAGGAUUAGAUACCCUUGUAGUC